AAUCAACGCUGGCGGCGUGCCUAACACAUGCAAGUCGAACGCGAAAGUGGAGCAAUCCAUGAGUAGAGUGGCAAACGGGUGAGUAACACGUGGGUGACCUGCCUUCGAGUGGGGAUAACGUCCCGAAAGGGACGCUAAUACCGCAUGACAUGCUGUCUUUGAAUAGACGGACAUCAAAGCCGGGGAUCGCAAGACCUGGCGCUAGAAGAGGGGCCCGCGCCNGAUUAGCUAGUUGGUGGGGUAAUGGCUCACCAAGGCAACGAUCAGUAUCCGGCCUGAGAGGGCGGACGGGACACACUGGGACGUGAGACACGGCCCAGACUCCUACGGGAGGCAGCAGUGGGGAAUUGUUCGCAAUGGGCGAAAGCCUGACGACGCAACGCCGC
rnacentral:rRNA from 1 species